GGGCCUCUUGGGCUUUUACACACCAUGUUUAUCAAUUAAUUCACGGUUUUAAAUUUGAGUAGUGAGCUGAGUCAGUCCGAGUUAGGGUGAGUCCACUUCAACUCAAGCUUCUUCUCUUUCUCUCCCGACGGCUGCAACUCUAAGCCAGAUCAGAUGGCUUUCAGACGCAGUCUGAGCAUGCGCGUUAGACUGUUCAAUCAGAACCGUUACACACCUCCACUUUCGUAUAUGCAUCACCGCAAUGAUUCUGAAGAAUCAAAUAACCCCCUAAAUCAGGAAGUGAAACCGCUACAUGGGUUUCUGCAAAAUCGGAACUUUUCGAGCAGUGGAGGGUUUAGUCCAGUUUUUCGUGAUCCCGGGGUUUCGAGAUUGGAGAAUUCGAUGUUGAAUGGGUCGUUUUUGGCGAGGAAUAUGUCGUCAGCGAUUGGGGAUGGCACGGGGAAGAUGGAGUAUAUGACUGAUGUUGCUGGUGUUUUGAGUGAUGGGAGUGUGGAAGUAAUGACUCAACAAGUAGUGACCCAACAAGCUCCGGUUUUGAGUGAAGUUGCGGUGGCAGCUGCUGAUUCGUAUUUUCCGGUGGCUGCUUUGCAGUAUGUGAUUGAUGGGAUUCAUAGUUAUACUGGAUUGCCGUGGUGGGGAAGCAUAGUGGCAACAACUUUUCUGAUUCGAGGGUUAGCAGUUCCAUUAAUGAUUAAUCAGCUCAAAGCUACGUCAAAGCUAACGCUUAUGAGGCCAAAAUUGGAGGAAAUUAAGCAAGAGAUGCAAGACAGGGGUAUGAGUCCUACGGCAGUAACAGAAGGUCAACAACGAAUGGGAGAGGUGUUUAAAGAGUAUGGUGUAACACCGUGGACUCCUCUGAAAGGACUCCUGAUACAGGGUCCUGUUUUUGUCAGUUUUUUCCUCGGAAUUCAAAACAUGGUAGAAAAGGUACCGUCUUUUAAAGAGGGUGGAGCAUUUUGGUUCGUCGAUCUGACAAUUCCUGAUAGUUUCUACAUCUUUCCCAUUCUGACUGCACUAACGUUCUGGAUAACAGUGGAGUGCAAUAUGCAAGAAGGUUUGGAAGGCAAUCCUGCUGGUGGAACAAUGAAAAAGGUCAUGAGGGUUUUUGCCCUUGUCACAGUUCCUCUUACCAUGUCUUUCCCACAGGCUAUAUUUUGUUAUUGGAUCACGUCCAACCUGUUUUCACUUUUUUAUGGACUAGUAAUAAGAGCACCGAAGGUUAAAAAGUUCCUGGGUGUCCCUAUUAUACCGGUGGCACGAGCUACAACUGCGCAACAACCUGCCUUCUCAUUUACAGAAGCACUUAAAAAGUAUGUGCAAGCACAACAGCGGCGAUCUCUACCACCUGCAAAUCCAUCAAAUGCUACUUCCCUGCCUACAGAAACAGAAAAGCCAACAAAUACAAAUAUAACCAAAACUUCUACAUCGUCCAUCCUCAGUCAGAGAAUCAGAAGUUUAGAAAAUCAAGUCAAGGGAAGAAAGAAGGGCAAGAAGAGGUGAAAAUUUACUGAAUCUUUACCAUCUUAAGGGAAGAAAGAAGGGCGAGAAGAGGAGUUGAAGACACUUGCUAAGGUUUUAUAGAGAAGCCUUUGAAGCCAAAGCACCAAGCAUGUUCUUAUAUUAUAUUAUCAAGACAUGUAAAGAAUAUCUUCAGAUGUGUAUCCUUUUGUUUAGACAAUAUCUAUAGCCUAAAUAGAGGAAUAAACUUUUUACUGCAUAUGAAAUGACAGUUAUUUA